ACACUCCUACGGGAGGCAGCAGUGGGGAAUCUUGCGCAAUGGGCGAAAGCCUGACGCAGCCAUGCCGCGUGAAUGAUGAAGGUCUUAGGAUUGUAAAAUUCUUUCACCGGGGACGAUAAUGACGGUACCCGGAGAAGAAGCCCCGGCUAACUUCGUGCCAGCAGCCGCGGUAAUACGAAGGGGGCUAGCGUUGCUCGGAAUUACUGGGCGUAAAGGGAGCGUAGGCGGACAUUUAAGUCAGGGGUGAAAUCCCGGGGCUCAACCUCGGAAUUGCCUUUGAUACUGGGUGUCUUGAGUAUGAGAGAGGUGUGUGGAACUCCGAGUGUAGAGGUGAAAUUCGUAGAUAUUCGGAAGAACACCAGUGGCGAAGGCGACACACUGGCUCAUUACUGACGCUGAGGCUCGAAAGCGUGGGGAGCAAACAGGAUUAGAUACCCCUGUAGUCCCAU
rnacentral:rRNA from 1 species